rnacentral:rRNA from 1 species
AUGGGUGACAAGGGCUCCUGCAGCAGCUACUGCAUUGAUCUCAUGCAUCGCCUCUACACAUCUCCUAAAGGGAAGAUAAAUGUUCCACACUUUCUAUGGCAUGAGAUUCGCCUUGCUAGCUUUCAGCACAAGCGGGCUUUCCCUCAUGCACCUUUUCUUCAGGCAUUUAUCGAGAGUGUAGCUCCCUUUCCCAUUGCACGCACUCAUAUACAUGAGAGAUGGGUCAUCCCACCUCACAUGGCGGCUGACCAUGUUCCUCCUCCUCCCGCUACUGCUAGUCGCACCGCCGCUAGUUUUCCCUCUCAUGCUACCCAUCCUCCUUCCAGUGAUGCCCCCUUUGGGCGCAUUGCUCGUUUUCUUGGAAGGCUCAUUCAGCCAUGA